rnacentral:rRNA from 1 species
CACGAACCGUACGAACGUUAUUCGGAAUUAUUGGGCUUAAAGGGUGCGUAGGCGGCGCUGUAAGUCGGGUGUGAAAUCCCACGGCUCAACCGUGGAAUUGCGCCCGAUACUGCAGUGCUUGAGGGAGACAGGGGUGAGUGGAACUGAUGGUGGAGCGGUGAAAUGCGUUGAUAUCAUCAGGAACACCGGUGGCGAAAGCGGCUCACUGGGUCUCUUCUGACGCUGAGGCACGAAAGCUAGGGUAGCGAACGGGAUUAGAUACCCCGGUA